GUAAUAGCUCACUGGUCGAGUCGGUCCGCGCGGAAGAUGUAACGGGGCUAAAACUAUAUGCCGAAGCUGCGGAUUUGCAAUUUAUUGCAAGUGGUAGGGGAGCGUUCUGUAAGCCGAUGAAGGUGUAUUGAGAAGUAUGCUGGAGGUAUCAGAAGUGCGAAUGCUGACGUGAGUAACGACAAUGCGAGUGAAAAACUCGCACGCUGAAAGACCAAGGGUUCCAGUCCAACGUUAAUCGGGGCUGGGUGAGUCGACCCCUAAGGCGAGGCCGAAAGGCGUAGUCGAUGGGAAACAGGUUAAUAUUCCUGUACUCGGUGUUACUGCGAAGUGGGGAGGUUAAGCCUCACG
rnacentral:rRNA from 1 species